rnacentral:rRNA from 1 species
UGCAUGUCUCAGUACAUACCGAACCAAGGUGAAACCGCGAAUGGCUCAUUAAAUCAGUUGUGGUUCCUGGGAGCCAAUGCUGUCCUACUUGGAUAACUGUGGUAAUUCUAGAGCUAAUACAUGCCUCGAAGCUCGGACCCGCGAGGGAAAGAGCGCAGUUAUUAGAUCAAAACCGAUCGGGCCUUCGGGCCCGUCCCAACCUUGAUGACUCUGGAUAACCACAUGCCGAGCGCAUGGCCUCCGUGCCGGCGCCCUAUCCUUCAAGUGUCUGCCUUAUCAGCUGUCGAUGGUAGGCUAUGCGCCUACCAUGGCUAUCACGGGUAACGGGGAAUCAGGGUUCGAUUCCGGAGAGGGAGCCUGAGAAACGGCUACCACAUCUAAGGAAGGCAGCAGGCACGCAAAUUACCCACUCCCGGCUCGGGGAGGUAGUGACGAAAAAUAACGAUGCGGGACUCUUUACGAGGCCCCGCAAUCGGAAUGAGUACACAUUAAAUCCUUUAACGAGGAUCCAUUGGAGGGCAAGUCUGGUGCCAGCAGCCGCGGUAAUUCCAGCUCCAAUAGCGUAUAUUAAAGUUGCUGCGGUUAAAAAGCUCGUAGUCGAGAGCCUGUGUCGGACCGACGGUGCGCCGCCCGGCGUGACUGUCGGCUUUCCGCACAGCUCGCCGGCCAGCACGGGGUGCUCUUCACCGAGUGUCCCGGGCGGUCGACAAGUUUACUUUGAAAAAAUUAGAGUGCUCAAAGCAGGCCCUAGUGCCCGCAUAUCUGUGCAUGGAAUGAUGGAAUAGGACUUCGGUCUUAUUUUGUUGGUUUUCGAGACCCGAGGUAAUGAUGAAUGGAAUCUGUCGGGGGCAUUCGUAUUGCGACGCUAGAGGUGAAAUUCUUGGACCGUCGCAAGACGAACAACUGCGAAAGCAUUUGCCAAGUAUGCUUUCAUUGAUCAAGAACGAAAGUCAGAGGUUCGAAGGCGAUCAGAUACCGCCCUAGUUCUGACCGUAAACGAUGCCAACUAGCGAUCCGCCGGUGUCAAUACCAUGAUCUGGCGGGCAGCUUCCGGGAAACCAAAGUCUUUGGGUUCCGGGGGAAGUAUGGUUGCAAAGCUGAAACUUAAAGGAAUUGACGGAAGGGCACCACCAGGAGUGGAGCCUGCGGCUUAAUUUGACUCAACACGGGGAACCUCACCAGGCCAGGACGCUGUUAGGAUUGACAGAUUAAGAGCUCUUUCUCGAUUCAGUGGGUGGUGGUGCAUGGCC